GAUGAACGCUGGCGGCGUGCCUAAUACAUGCAAGUCGAGCGAACAGACGAGGAGCUUGCUCCUCUGACGUUAGCGGCGGACGGGUGAGUAACACGUGGAUAACCUACCUAUAAGACUGGGAUAACUUCGGGAAACCGGAGCUAAUACCGGAUAACAUGUUGAACCGCAUGGUUCAACAGUGAAAGACGGUCUUGCUGUCACUUAUAGAUGGAUCCGCGCCGCAUUAGCUAGUUGGUAAGGUAACGGCUUACCAAGGCAACGAUGCGUAGCCGACCUGAGAGGGUGAUCGGCCACACUGGAACGGAGACACGGUCCAGACUCCUACGGGAGGCAGCAGUAGGGAACCUUCGGCAAUGGGCGAAAGCCUGACGGAGCAACGCCGCGUGAGUGAAGAAGGUCUUCGGAUCGUAAAACUCUGUUAUUAGGGAAGAACAAAUGUGUAAGUAACUAUGCACGUCUUGACGGUACCUAAUCAGAAAGCCACGGCUAACUACGUG
rnacentral:rRNA from 1 species